rnacentral:misc_RNA from 1 species
AAGAGUUAGGGUCUCUCAGGCCCGACCUCCCAACCCUUUGUUUACUGAACCAUUGUUGCUUCGGUGGGUCCGUCUCACGACCGCCGGGGGAGGGAUCCCCCCCCCCCCCCCCCCCCCCCCCCCCGCCGAUAGCCCAACUCUUAAAAUCCUUUAUGAAUCGUGUCUUAUGUCUAAAUCAUGAUAACAAAUCAAAUUA